CUUGGUGUAAUGGUUAAGGUGUUGGCUUGACAGUUGCUGGACCCGGGUUAGAGUCCCGGUUAGGGCUACCCCCCGAAUUCACUAUAGCCCUUAAAUUUAACUCUGGACCUCGAAGUCAGUUCCACUGCUUGUUUUCAUUGUUCCCCUCUAAUCAGGGACUGAUUUAGAUUUGGUGGGGCAAUUCAUUAUCAGGUAGAACAGAAAACCAGCAGGUUCCGGACCUCGUAGGGUGAGUUUAAUACCCCUGUGCUACAGUAUGAAAGAUAAGUGCAUUUUUUUUCAUGUCUGUUUAAGAAUAAUUACUUCAAUUUCCCUGUAAUACAUUUGCCCAUUAUGUGACCCUGCAGAGUGGAUAUCUCUGCAGCUCUGUCGGUGUGUCCCAAUAAUAUCUUCCGCCACCAAUCCAAUACUUUUAGGUUUGUGGGAAGUAGUGAACGAGUGCACACUUCAGGAAUAAGGAGAUGUCAUUGGGACGUACAAUAUAACAUUAUCUAGUGCCACAUUGAGUUAUGGUAUUGUGAAAAGGUCCCAGCACUACACACAAUCUCUGAAUGGUAGACAGUAAAUGUUCAACAUAUAUUCGCUAGACACAACAUAUCCGGUUUAUGCAACCCAUACUAUGUGCGCUGGAUACCGAAUUGAGUGCCAGAUAAAAAUUGGCAACCAGCACUGCACUGAUAAUAAGCCCAUUUACUCAGCAGCUUCACACUCUAAAUGACCUGUCUAACCAAUGUCCUCAAACAAUGUAUCAGUAUGAUGUGUAAAGCAAUGUACAAAAACAUUUAAGAGUUGAACAGAGUGUCAGGGACAGAGAACUUUUGUCUGGGGAUGUUUAAUUUGGAAUUUUUGCAGUGUCCCUUCUUGCAACGGCGGCAGAUGUCCUCGUUUCAGUGGUUGAUGGUGUUGUUUUUGUGUGGCAGACAGUGCUGUUGUGCUCACCAUGGGUAAGAGGUUGAUUUCAGCCCUCCUUUAUGGAGCCGCUUCAGUAAUGGGCCUCUCGGUGCUCACACGUAGUUUGCCUCCCUUGGAUAUUCAAUUAUUAAAGAUGGAGGGACGAGUGAAGGAGCCAUGGCGCAAUUACAGGUGUGAUGAUGGGAGAUGGAGACCAAGAUUGGCUGAGGUGAGGUGGGCGGAGGUCAGGCUCUGUUAAACAGCUCUCAUAUUUAAGGGCUCAUUAGGUUUGCUCUGUGAUGAGGGUUAUGCCGUGAAUCAUUGGCUUUUCUGUUUCUUUUGUACACAUACUGUACCUUACCUAUCUUUUUGUCUGUCUCUAUAGAAGUCUGUCUUUCCGUCAGUCACCAGAUUUGAUGGCUUCAAUGACAAUAACUGUUUCAUUUCAUUGCUACAGCACGUUUAUUGUUGUACGCAACAGGUUCAAUUUUGACACCAAGUUCCAGUAAGGAUGAGAAUGUCAUAACAUUCACAUGUUCAGCACCUCAGUCUCCGUCUUCAGACAGAACAGCACACUGCCAGCUCAAAGGACAGGGAGCUCUGAAUGUGUCUCAGAUGCUUCCGCCCCUCGGCUCCCCUCGACUAAAAAAAGAAACCUCAUCAAAGUGCGACAAAGCAUGUUGGGUAUUUAAGUGCACUUUGAUCUGGGCGGCGGAGCUGCCGUUCCCUUUAUCACUAGGUGAAUAUAAAAGAGCCAUCUGGAAGGGCGGUGUCUGAGACAGCCAGGAAAUAAAUAAAGACCUGUCUGUAUGGAGGUACAUCAGACACAUGCUAGGGAUGCAGGGAUACACACCUGGACACGUCUAGAGCAGCAGAUUCCUGGCAUUCACUCAGCAGAGCUGCUGUUAGAAGAGGACUUGGAGGAGAGACGACUGGCCUAACGACAACAAACCAUCUGCUACAUCAGCUACAAUUUAGGGGAAAUUGCCAAGAAUAAACUCAUUGUGCCCUCAGAUUGUUAAUAUUAACGAGGUAGACGCUGGGGGAUUUGGAGCAUUUAUCUAAACGAUAAAGAUACAAUAGGGACGUGGCAUGCUAUGACACCUGAUGCUGUUCUCUCUAAUAGGAUGAGAAACAAUCCAACAAGCAGCCGUCUGUUUCCGAUCUGGUGAUUUCAAUAAAUUAUCUCAUAAAAUAUCAUUCCAAAUGCAUCCAUAUAUAAACAUUGCUGCUUUCAAUACAGUAAAUCUGUGUUAUGCCAAAACAGAGAUUAAAAUGCAAUGCACACUGAUUAAGUAAAGUCCAGGACCUAUUACUGAUUACCUGUCUCAUUCUUACUGACAGUUGUGGCUGCUUUGUGUGAUGUAUUGUUGUCUCUACCUUCUUGCCCUUUGUGCUAUUGUCUGUGCCCAAUAAUGUUUGUACCAUGUUUUGUGCUGCUGCCAUGUUGUGUUGCUACCAUGCUGUGUUGUCAUGUGUUGCUGCCAUGCUAUAUUGUUGUCUUAGGUCUCUCUUUAUGUAGUGUUGUCUCUCUUGUCGUGAUGUGUGUUUUGUACUAUAUCUUUAUUGAAUUUCUUUUUAAUCCCAGCCCCCGUCCCCGCAGGAGGCCUUUUGCCUUUUGGUAGGCAGUCAUUGUAAAUAAUAAUUUGUUCUUAACUGACUUGCCUAGUUAAAUAAAGGUUAAAUAAAAAAAUAAUAUAAAAGUAAAAAUAAAAGUGAUAUACAUUUCCUUGGUGGCAGCACUAUUAUAUAUUACUGUAUAUAAGAGGCAAAAGCUAGUAAUGACACUUCAACACAAAGCUCUCUAUAUUGUGUUAAAAAAAGUAUUAUUCUGGAUGUACUCUGUGGUGGACGGCUGUUUGAUUGACCAGUGAAACGGGUACAGAG
rnacentral:lncRNA from 1 species